rnacentral:rRNA from 1 species
AAUCAACGCUGGCGGCGUGCCUAACACAUGCAAGUCGAACGCGAAAGCCCCUUCGGGGGUAAGUAGAGUGGCGUCCGGGUGAGUAACACGUGGGUAAUCUGCCUUCGGGUGGGGAAUAACCCAGGGAAACUUGGGCUAAUACCGCAUAAUGCAGCGGCACCUAAUGGUGAUUAGUUGUUAAAGCGGGGGAUCGCAAGACCUCGCGCCUGAAGAGGAGCCUGCGGCAGAUUAGCUAGUUGGUGAGGUAAUGGCUCACCAAGGCUGCGAUCUGUAGCUGGUCUGAGAGGACGGCCAGCCACACUGGCACUGACACACGGGCCAGACUCCUACGGGAGGCAGCAGUGGGGAAUUUUGGGCAAUGGGCGCAAGCCUGACCCAGCAACGCCGCGUGAGGGAGGAAAUCCUUCGGGAUGUAAACCUCACAAGCAAGGGAAGAGAGCCGUGGGCUGAAUAAUCCCGCGGUACGACGGUACCUUGCGUAAGCCACGGCUAACUACGUGC